GAUCUGAAAUCUUGGUGGGGAAACCUGAGUCCUGGCUCCCUGCUGUAAGGCCAGAUCAAGAGCACUGCUGGCCUUGCCCUCAUGUCUGCUGCUGCCCCGAGUUCUUGGCAGUAGCCUACAGGGAGGCCCACAGGUAGGGGCCAAAG
rnacentral:snoRNA from 1 species